rnacentral:tRNA from 1 species
AGCUCAGUUGGUUAGAGCAUCCGUUUAAUAAGCCAGAGGGCAUGAGUUCAACUCUCAUUGAAAGCA